rnacentral:misc_RNA from 1 species
CCAACCUCGGUCGCGGGGCCGAACAACCCCGUCGCCAUGAGCCAGCUGGGAACGGUUUACGCGACCAAACGCCGCCGGAGAAACGGAAAAAGUUGUGAUGCACAAGGACAAGGACGAGAGUGCUCACCACGAUUCGCAUUACCGAGCACGCGAGCUUGCUGCUCUUGCGGCGUACGACCACCAUCACCUAGACGGGGAAAUGUUCCUACAGGCGUUGAACGGAUUCCUGCUGAUCCUCACGUGCGACGGUGAAGUCUUCUUCGCAACUCACAGUAUCGAGAGUUACCUGGGCUUCCAUCAGUCCGACAUCGUUCACCAAAGCGUGUACGAGUUGGUGCACAGCGAGGACCGUGAGGAACUCCAAAGGCAAUUGAUGUGGAACUCCUUCCUACCCGCAGAAAGCGCCGGUCUUCCGCUUAACGACGCUCUGGCGCCUCAGCACGGACAUCUCCUCGAGCGCAGCUUUACCGUCCGCUUCCGGUGCCUCCUGGACAACACUUCCGGCUUCCUGCGCCUCGACAUCAGGGGUAGAGUUAAGGUCCUCCACGGGCAAAACCGGAAGACGGAAGAUCCGCCCUUGGCGCUGUUCGCCCUCUGCACCCCCUUCGGUCCACCCUCGUUGCUCGAGGUGCCACAGAAGGAGGUGAUGUUCAAGAGCAAGCACAAACUGGACCUCGCCCUCGUCUCCAUGGAUCAGCGGGGUAAAAUGCUGCUGGGUUACUCGGACGCCGAGCUGGCGAACCUGGGUGGCUACGACCUUGUGCACUACGACGAUCUCGCCUACGUGGCGAGUGCGCACCAAGAACUUCUAAAGACUGGAGCAUCCGGCAUGAUAGCCUACAGGUAUCAGACCAAGGACGGUGGUUGGCAGUGGCUUCAGACGAGUUCAAGGCUCGUCUACAAGAACUCAAAGCCGGAUUUCGUAAUCAGCACACACCGUCCAUUAAUGGAAGAAGAGGGUCGAGACCUGCUAGGCAAGCGAACGAUGGAUUUCAAGGUCAGCUACCUGGACGCGGGUCUGACGAACAGUUAUUUUUCGGACAGCGAUAGCCUCACGGGUUCAGGAAUAACACCAACGCUCCCGGCUCAGCCGACGCCACAGCGAGUGAACCGUCGCUACAAGACGCAGCUUCGAGAUUUCCUCUCGACCUGCAGAGGGAAGAGAACCAAGCUGACGAGUCAGUCCUCCUCAUCACCGCCAGCGACGCCGAGUGUGGCAUCUGUCGAUUACCUGACUGCUGACACGAGCGCGGCAGCGGCAGUGGCCGCGGCAUACAGCAACCUCAACAACAUGUACCCAACCGCAUACGCGCCGACGGCGGUCGCCGCGACGAGCGAUCCGUCGUUGACGACGUACAUCGGACACACGGGCAACUACCAUCAGACCUUGUACCCUGCUGGUGCCCUGGACAACCGCUACCUAACGGCAACGGAGAACCUCUUCCAGUACCGUCCGUUGGGUUCCUACUACCCCGAGUACCACGCGACAACCGGUGCCUACAACGGUUUCCUCGACGUCUCGCUGCCCACCUACGACCCCCACCAACUGACGAGUUCGUCGUCGGGCAAAGGGGACGAUAAGCUUUACUGCCAACAACUGGCCGACUCCCCGAAGUACGGGUACGUCGAGGCUCGGCAUCCGGGCAGCGUUGGUUCCCCCUACGCGGCCAGUCCGGUAGCCACGGUGCCGGUGGUCCAUGGUCCGGGAAGUCGUCACUCUCUGGAGGGUGGUGCUUCGUCCAGCAAUUCGGCAGGCAGUUCGCCGGUGACGAGUGCUGGGACAGGCGUCCUUACACCGAAGAUGGAGGACGUCAAGCCGGACGUAAUUUACGGCGGCGAGGCACCCAGACAGACGGUGCUCAUGUGGGGUGCACCACCGUCCAGGUCACCGCCACGGAACAACGGCGCCUACAGUCCCCCGAUAUCACAUUCCCAGACAACCCCAAACGACCCCUUGAAAUCGCUUGCGGAGAUGAACUCUGUAAACGGUGAUUGCAAGUGGAAGCAGACCUCGCCCAACGGGCAAACCACCAGUGUCGCCUCAUCGACUAGUCCGACGAGGAGCAAGGCUCAGCAACAACAGCAGCAGCAGCAGCAGCAGCAGCAGCAGCAGCAGGCUCAGCAUCAGGGUCAGCAGCACCAUCAGCAGUACGCUGUGACUGCCGCCCAUUACGCCACUCCUGCUGGAUACCCGCACCCUCAUUCGGGACACGGUCACUCCGAGGGCGGUUCGGAGGUAUGGCAAGGAGUCCAGCAUCACCAUCACCACUACCAGUACUAUCCUUACCACCAUCACCAUCACCAGCACCACCAGCACCACCAGAAUCACCCCGCACCGCCGCAAAGGCACGGGACACUGCAAUGUGCGCCCCACACGUCACCGGGAUCGUUGUCGGGGGGAGGAAUUGCCGGGGUAAUGGGGACGAGACUGUCGAUGGAAACGGGCAACGGCAACACCAGCAACAGCACCAGCAACAGCAACACCACCAACACCAGCAACAGCACCAGCAACAGCAACACCAUCAACAACAGCAGCCGCAGCACCAGCACCACCACCAUCACCACCACCAGCAGCAGCAUCACAACCAUCAGCAACAGCAGCAACACCAACAUCAGCAACAGCAACAGCGUAUCGUACCAUCUGGCCCAUCACAACCAUCACGGUGUGGUCCCAAUAGUGGGCUCGCAGAUCCAAAGCCGGACACCGGGAGUCCUUUGCUGUCCAUCUCUGAGGUGACAAACACCCUGCUCAACCAGUAGCCAUCGAUAAAAGAUCCAACGUAUCUAUUCGUUGUAGUCGACAAUUCUUCGCGACUAGAACGAUGAAGGACUUGUAUGAAAGUAAGGGCCUCUCCAGGCGAAUUAUCACCGUAUUAUAUUGCCCUGCGUUGCAGGCUGUCUGUUAAAUCGACCGAUCAUGGAAUUUAUAAGUGCGCAAAUUGUACCAUACAAGAUGAAAAAAUUAUCAGUUCAAUUAAUCGAGAAUUAUAAAUUCUAUACACGUGUAUAAUGUAUAGGAUGAUAUAUCCUGUAAUAUAAAUAUACACAUGCACAGAGUGAAUUCCUAACGACUGCAUGGACCGUCGUUUGCUAAAAUUUAAUGCAUACGAGCUACAAUCCGAGAACGACCGUUUGCCAGGGUGACCAACUGUCUCUAGCUGUCAAAAAUUUUGAAGUUACUUACAUGGCUGCGUGCUGUCGACUAAAUUUGUGAGAGUUAGUUGCCUUGACUUAGAGCCGCUCUCGGAUCGAGCGCAUGCGCAUUAAAUUUUAGUAGCCGAUAGACCGCGCAGUCGGUAUAAAUUAACUCUGUACAUACCCAUUUACUGAUCGUUAUGCAUGGAUAAGUAACAUGCCUUAUUGGAGUAUCGACGUAUGUCAUCUAAAAGAAGAGAUCGAUUCCACUCAAUUACACUACAAAAAUGAGGUAGGAAUGGAAGAAAAUUUUUAAUUCACCCCGAAACAGGCUCGUGGAUUAUUGAUUUUAUCCUCUUAAUUUUUUUGGUGGAAGCCGUGCAGAUUGUAAAUUAGACGUCAGAUAUUCAAAAUUGAUGAAAUCAGAUCGAACCAAUUGAGACAACCGCCAUGAAUUCCAGUAGAAGCACAAACUUACUGUACCUAACUCAAAAUAAACGCAACACAGAUCUGUAUUACGUUUGGAAGCGUAACAUGAAUUAAUUCCUAUUUGACCUACAUAUAUAGGUAUAUAUAUAUAUAUGAUAAUUUAUAUACAUAUACUGUACGUGUAAGAGAAUAAGAAAACUAUAUAUUAUAUAUAAAUUUAAUAUCGUAAAUAAUUAUAUCCAAUAUACACAAAAGUGUACAACGAUUCUGUAUAAUAAUUAUAAUAAAUAAUAAAAAAUAGAAAUAAAGAUAAUAAUAAUUAUAAUAAUGGUAAUAGAUGAAUAAAUAAUACUGCAGUAAAUAGGUAAUAAAUAAUGAUUAUAACAAUAAUAUCAAUAAUAGAUAUCGUGCUUGUAUAAUUACGAAAUGAAAUACGUAUUCUGUGAUAAGUGUUAGAUGAUUAUUUCGACACGAAAAUCGUCAGAGACGUACUUGGUUGCAGGAUGAUAUAGCGAGAAUUACGGCAAAGAAAGAGAGAGAGUAAAAAAAAAAAGGGGAAAUGAAAAAUAAAACUAAUACAAGCAAUAAUAAUUAAUCACCUGGAACAUUAAUUG